UAUGGAUGGCGACCGGCGCACGGGUGAGUAACACGUAUCAACCUGCCGACAACACUGGGAUAGCCUUUCGAAAGAAAGAUUAUACCGGAUGGCAUAGUUUUCCCGCAUGGGAUAAUUAUUAAAGAAUUCGGUUGUCGAUGGGGAUGCGUUCCAUUAGGCAGUUGGCGGGGUAACGGCCCACCAAACCAACGAUGGAUAGGGGUUCUGAGAGGAAGGUCCCCCACAUUGGAACUGAGACACGGUCCAA
rnacentral:rRNA from 1 species